rnacentral:rRNA from 1 species
UACGUAGGGGGCAAGCGUUGUCCGGAUUUAUUGGGCGUAAAGGGCGCGUAGGCGGUUUCUUAAGUUUGGAGUGACAGUGGGUGGCUUAACUACCCAAGGCCUCUGAAAACUGGGGAACUUGAGGACCAGAGAGGGACAUAGAAUUCCGGGUGGAGUGGUGAAAUGCGUAGAUAUCCGGAGGAAUACCAAAGGCGAAGGCAGUGUCCUGGAGGGUAACUGACGCUGAUGCGCGAAAGCUAGGGGAGCGAACAGG